rnacentral:rRNA from 1 species
UGAACACUGGCGGUAUGCUUAACACAUGCAAGUCGAACGGUCUCUUAGGAGAUAGUGGCGGACGGGUGAGUAACGCGUGAGAAUUUGCCUCUAGGUCGGGGACAACAGUUGGAAACGACUGCUAAUCCCGGAUGAGCCGUAAGGUGAAAGAUUUAUCGCCUAGAGAGGAGCUCGCGUCCGAUUAGUUAGUUGGUGGGGUAAAAGCCUACCAAGACGGCGAUCGGUAGCUGGNCUGAGAGGAUGACCAGCCACACUGGGACUGAGACACGGCCCAGACUNCUACNGGAGGCAGCNGUGGGGAAUUUUCCGCAAUGGGCGCAAGCCUGACGGAGCAAUACCGCGUGCGGGAGGAAGGCCCUUGGGUCGUAAACCGCUUUUCUNAGGGAAGAAGUACUGACUNGUACCUGAGGAAAAAGCCUCGGCUAACUCCGUGCCAGCAGCCGCGGUAAU